rnacentral:rRNA from 1 species
GCAAGUCGAGCGAGAAAUUAGAUGCUUGCAUUUAAUGGAAAGCGGCGAACGGGUGAGUAACACGUUGGUAUCUGCCCCCAAGUCAGGGAUAGCCAUUGGAAACGAUGAUUAAUACCGGAUAGUCUCUACGGAGUAAAAAUUUAUUGCUUGGGGAGGAACCUGCGGUCUAUCAGCUAGUUGGUGUGGUAAAAGCACACCAAGGCUAUGACGGAUACCUGGUCUGAGAGGAUGAUC